rnacentral:rRNA from 1 species
GAUGAACGCUGGCGGCGUGCCUAACACAUGCAAGUCGAACGGAGAUUACGGACGGAAGUUUUCGGAUGGAAGACUGUAAUUCUUAGUGGCGGACGGGUGAGUAACGCGUGGGCAACCUGCCCUAUACAGGGGGAUAGCAGCUGGAAACGGCUGGUAAGACCGCAUAAGUCGGUUAAAUCGCAUGAUUUGAUCGGGAAAUGAGCAAUCAGGUAUAGGAUGGGCCCGCGUCCGAUUAGCCAGUUGGCAGGGUAAAAGCCUACCAAAGCGACGAUCGGUAGCCGGACUGAGAGGCCGGGCGGCCACAUUUGGACUGGGACACGGCCCAAACUCCUACGGGAGGCAGCAGUGGGGGAUAUUGCACAAUGGAGGAAGCUCUGAUGCAGCUACGCCGCGUGAGUGAAUAAGUAUUUCGGUAUGUAAAGCUCUAUCAGCAGGGAAGAUGAUGACGGUACCUGACUAAGAAGCCCCGGCUAACUACGUG